UUUCGGGUUGUAAACCCCUUUCAGUAGGGAAGAAGCGCAAGUGACGGUACCUGCAGAAGAAGCGCCGGCUAACUACGUGCCAGCAGCCGCGGUAAUACGUAGGGCGCGAGCGUUAUCCGGAAUUAUUGGGCGUAAAGAGCUCGUAGGCGGUUUGUCGCGUCUGCCGUGAAAGUCCGGGGCUCAACUCCGGAUCUGCGGUGGGUACGGGCAGACUUGAGUGCUGUAGGGGAGACUGGAAUUCCUGGUGUAGCGGUGAAAUGCGCAGAUAUCAGGAGGAACACCGAUGGCGAAGGCAGGUCUCUGGGCAGUAACUGACGCUGAGGAGCGAAAGCAUGGGGAGCGAACAGGAUUAGAUACCCUGGUAGUCCAUGCCGUAAACGUUGGGCACUAGGUGUGGGGGGCAUUCCACGUCCUCCGCGCCGUAGCUAACGCAUUAAGUGCCCCGCCUGGGGAGUACGGCCGCAAGGCUAAAACUCAAAGGAAUUGACGGGGGCCCGCACAAGCGGCGGAGCAUGCGGAUUAAUUCGAUGCAACGCGAAGAACCUUACCAAGGCUUGACAUGGGCCGGACCGGGCGAGAGAUCGUCCUUCCCUUCGGGGCCGGUUCACAGGUGGUGCAUGGUUGUCGUCAGCUCGUGUCGUGAGAUGUUGGGUUAAGUCCCGCAACGAGCGCAACCCUCGUUCCAUGUUGCCAGCGGGUUAUGCCGGGGACUCAUGGGAGACUGCCGGGGUCAACUCGGAGGAAGGUGGGGACGACGUCAAAUCAUCAUGCCCCUUAUGUCUUGGGCUUCACGCAUGCUACAAUGGCCGGUACAAUGGGUUGCGAUACUGUGAGGUGGAGCCAAUCCCAAAAAGCCGGUCUCAGUUCGGAUUGGGGUCUGCAACUCGACCCCAUGAAGUCGGAGUCGCUAGUAAUCGCAGAUCAGCACGCUGCGGUGAAUACGUUCCCGGGCCUUGUACACACCGCCCGUCAGUCACGAAGUGGGUAACACCC
rnacentral:rRNA from 1 species